rnacentral:rRNA from 1 species
AAAUUGAAGAGUUUGAUCAUGGCUCAGAUUGAACGCUGGCGGCAGGCCUAACACAUGCAAGUCGAGCGGUAGCACAGAGAGCUUGCUCUCGGGUGACGAGCGGCGGACGGGUGAGUAAUGUCUGGGAAACUGCCUGAUGGAGGGGGAUAACUACUGGAAACGGUAGCUAAUACCGCAUAACGUCGCAAGACCAAAGUGGGGGACCUUCGGGCCUCAUGCCAUCAGAUGUGCCCAGAUGGGAUUAGCUAGUAGGUGGGGUAACGGCUCACCUAGGCGACGAUCCCUAGCUGGUCUGAGAGGAUGACCAGCCACACUGGAACUGAGACACGGUCCAGACUCCUACGGGAGGCAGCAGUGGGGAAUAUUGCACAAUGGGCGCAAGCCUGAUGCAGCCAUGCCGCGUGUGUGAAGAAGGCCUUCGGGUUGUAAAGCACUUUCAGCGGGGAGGAAGGCGGUAAGGUUAAUAACCUUGGCGAUUGACGUUACCCGCAGAAGAAGCACCGGCUAACUCCGUGCCAGCAGCCGCGGUAAUACGGAGGGUGCAAGCGUUAAUCGGAAUUACUGGGCGUAAAGCGCACGCAGGCGGUCUGUCAAGUCGGAUGUGAAAUCCCCGGGCUCAACCUGGGAACUGCAUUCGAAACUGGCAGGCUAGAGUCUUGUAGAGGGGGGUAGAAUUCCAGGUGUAGCGGUGAAAUGCGUAGAGAUCUGGAGGAAUACCGGUGGCGAAGGCGGCCCCCUGGACAAAGACUGACGCUCAGGUGCGAAAGCGUGGGGAGCAAACAGGAUUAGAUACCCUGGUAGUCCACGCCGUAAACGAUGUCGAUUUGGAGGUUGUGCCCUUGAGGCGUGGCUUCCGGAGCUAACGCGUUAAAUCGACCGCCUGGGGAGUACGGCCGCAAGGUUAAAACUCAAAUGAAUUGACGGGGGCCCGCACAAGCGGUGGAGCAUGUGGUUUAAUUCGAUGCAACGCGAAGAACCUUACCUGGUCUUGACAUCCACAGAACUUUCCAGAGAUGGAUUGGUGCCUUCGGGAACUGUGAGACAGGUGCUGCAUGGCUGUCGUCAGCUCGUGUUGUGAAAUGUUGGGUUAAGUCCCGCAACGAGCGCAACCCUUAUCCUUUGUUGCCAGCGGUCCGGCCGGGAACUCAAAGGAGACUGCCAGUGAUAAACUGGAGGAAGGUGGGGAUGACGUCAAGUCAUCAUGGCCCUUACGACCAGGGCUACACACGUGCUACAAUGGCAUAUACAAAGAGAAGCGACCUCGCGAGAGCAAGCGGACCUCAUAAAGUAUGUCGUAGUCCGGAUUGGAGUCUGCAACUCGACUCCAUGAAGUCGGAAUCGCUAGUAAUCGUAGAUCAGAAUGCUACGGUGAAUACGUUCCCGGGCCUUGUACACACCGCCCGUCACACCAUGGGAGUGGGUUGCAAAAGAAGUAGGUAGCUUAACCUUCGGGAGGGCGCUUACCACUUUGUGAUUCAUGACUGGGGUGAAGUCGUAACAAGGUAACCGUAGGGGAACCUGCGGUUGGAUCACCUCCUUACCUUAAAGAA